CGGGGCGUAGCUUAGCCUGGUAGAGCGCUACGUUCGGGACGUAGAGGUCGUGGGUUCGAAUCCCACCGCCCCGACCA
rnacentral:tRNA from 1 species